AUCAAUGAUCACUGAUUUGAUGUAGAGAAGGACAAGAUAAUUCACAUGAGACUGCAAACAACUCAAAAGGAUGAAAGGAUGCAGUUUUAAUAAUGCGAUGAUGCAGCCCACCCCCUCCCUUUCUCCUUCGCUCAUUCACACGCAUGCAUACAAAGCAAGAGAAUCAUUAAAGUUCAAUGAAAAAUAUUUUCUGACCAUACUAGAGGACGUUUGAUGGUUCUGAAAUGACAGCAUCAGAUCAUAAAAAUAAGAGAAAAAUGAACCGCAUGCAAAGAAACACAGAAGAUGUAAACUAUUGCGGUUACAAGUAUGGUUUUCUAGUUCAGCUAUUUUACAUAAGCUCCCACGAGGUGACAGGAUGCAUGUUCACUAAAGAGUUCUCAUUCAAGCUGAAUCGCCAACAGGUAUAAUCAUUUCAGAAUCUAGAGGGGUAAGUAAAAUAUAAGCAGAAUUACUGGAAACAUGAAAACAUGCUAACAACACGAGAUCACCACAGAACAAUCAACACCAGAAUAGAAUGCGAUACACGACACAUCCACUUCGUACAUCAUCAUAUUUGCAUUGCCUUAAAAAUGAUCUGUUUUCCAACUUAUCAAAGUGCUUAAAUUUUGUUCAUACAAUUCCCAACCCCAUCUGUUCUGAAACUAAUUAUUUUGGAAAUAAAAAAAUAAUACAUACCUUAAGUUACUCGGAAUGGUCAAGAAGAAUAGCAAAAGUAACUGCAGAUAGAUGUUAACUAUCAAAUAAUAUUCGAAUUUCCAAUCACCACGCAGGGUAAAGCGAAAGCUUAACAAGCUUUCAUUGGAUGGCAAGGUAUCAAAACC
rnacentral:lncRNA from 1 species